rnacentral:rRNA from 1 species
UACGUAGGGUGCAAGCGUUGUCCGGAAUUAUUGGGCGUAAAGAGCUCGUAGGCGGCUUGUUGCGUCGACUGUGAAAACCCGCGGCUUAACUGCGGGCUUGCAGUUGAUACGGGCAGGCUAGAGUUCGGUAGGGGAGACUGGAAUUCCUGGUGUAGCGGUGAAAUGCACAGAUAUCAGGAGGAACACCGGUGGCGAAGGCGGGUCUCUGGGCCGAUACUGACGCUGAGGAGCGAAAGCGUGGGGAGCGAACAGG